rnacentral:rRNA from 1 species
UACGGAGGAUCCAAGCGUUAUCCGGAUUUAUUGGGUUUAAAGGGUGCGUAGGCGGAUUGAUAAGUUAGAGGUGAAAUGUCCGAGCUCAACUCGGGAACUGCCUCUAAUACUGUUGAUCUAGAGAGUAGAUGCGGUAGGCGGAAUGUAUGGUGUAGCGGUGAAAUGCUUAGAGAUCAUACAGAACACCGAUUGCGAAGGCAGCUUACCAAACUAUAUCUGACGUUGAGGCACGAAAGCGUGGGUAGCAAACAGG